rnacentral:rRNA from 1 species
AUACGGAGGGUGCAAGCGUUGUUCGGAAUCACUGGGCGUAAAGGGCGCGCAGGCGGUUUGGUAAGUCAGAUGUGAAAGCCCACGGCUCAACCGUGGGAGUGCAUUUGAAACUGUCAGACUUGAGUACUAGAGGGGAAAGUGGAAUUCCCGGUGUAGAGGUGAAAUUCGUAGAUAUCGGGAGGAAUACCGGUGGCGAAGGCGACUUUCUGGCUAGAUACUGACGCUGAGGCGCGAAAGCGUGGGGAGCAAACAGGAUUAGAUACCCCAGUAGUCC